CUCCAAAUUUUCCAACCUCAACAGAGCCACCUCAGCUCAAUGCUCUGUCCUCUGGUCUCCUCAGAACCAAGAGCGACAAUGCCUAGGAUUUGGCCAGCCUCCACCUUGCUCUAUCAUUAUGUCGGAACUCAGGGUAACUGUGGAUGUGCCAGACAAUUAAUUUUAACAAAGAGAAAGAACUCUUCAUUGUGUUAGACUGGAGUGAAUGAGGGGACAAUGGCAGAAGGCAUCUUGAUGAGAUGCAGACCCACCAGCAGAGGAGUGGAUCCCAACCAGAAACAUUCGUGAUCUGGGGAACCAAGAAGAAAAGGACCAGAUGAUGCAGGCAUUGCAGAUGAUGCAGGCAUUGCAGAUGCCGAUGGCCCAGAAAGCUCAGCCAGAUGUCAGCAGCCCUUCAGAUGAUGAUGGCAGCCAUGUCCCUCCUGACCAUGACACCAGAAACAGCAGACACAGCUCCAGUGUAGCAGAUGAAUUAAACUGUCUUGGGUGAUGUGCAAUACACAUAGAUUUUUUUUUUUUAUUAUAGCUUUUUAUUUACAAGAUAUAUGCAUGGCUAAUUUCACAGCAUUGAUAAUUGCCAAACCUUUUGUUCCAAUUUUUCCCCUCCUUCUCCCCAUUCCCUUCCCCCAAUGGCAGGUUAACCUAUACAUGUUAAAUAUGUUAAAGUAUAAAUUAAAUACAAUAUAAUUAUACAUACACAUAGAUUGUUAAAUGGACGAUGGGUUUGUGCACUUCUCCCAUGGCUCCUUGCUGUUUAUAUGGAGGCCUGGGGAGAGGCUUUGCCCUGUAUUUCUCCACUUAUAGACAAUGCCUCUAAAUUAGUGGAUGAAAAAACCAACACUCCACCUGCCAAAGUUAGUGAGGCAGUGGUACAGGACAUGACUUUGCUUGUAUACACCCUCCUUUGGCCUUUCUUUACCAAAAGGGUAUACAAUUGAAACUACAGACUUAUGACAUCCUACCUCCUUGAGCAUAACUUUAUUGAAUGAGUUGAACACCAUGUUAUCCAUGCUUAGUUUUGGUCCCUGUUGGGCCUAGUUCUUACUGUCAUACUUUUGUUUGCCUUUGUUCUGUUAUAUACACUCUGUAAUCUCAUUGAUCAAGCGAGCUAUUGUUGAUGCUAAAGUUAGAGUGAUAUGAUGAGUGGUCCCCACUUUACAAGAGAGCGGAACCUAUUUAGGCUUUUUGAGGAUGAGAAAGUAGAUCUCUUUGACCAGGAGUCCAUCAGGAGUUCACUAGGAGUCAACAGGAGGUUAGGUGGGGGGCAGCUUGUGAACAUGUGAAUAAAAGAUCUUGAG